UUAUUUCCGACUACAGUAGUCGGAACAUAAUCACAUAUUAUUUUGGGUCCAAACCCUUAUUUUUUUAAUUAUCUUUUCCUUUCCCACACUUCUCACUUCUCUCUCACUGCUCACGUUUCUCCUCUCUUCCAGCGGCGUCUGCAGUGGCUUUGACUGGACGACGACAACGCAGGUGUGUCUCUCUCUCCGUCACAUUUUAAAUAUUCCUAUAAAAAAAUGCAAAACAGAACAAAGAGGUUUCAAUCACAGAAUACAAACAUAGUUAAAAUAUGUAGGCAGUUUAAUUAAUGUUUAUGUAUCUCGUGGAUUUCUUAACGAACUAAAUCUGCAAUUGAUCUAAUUUUGAGUUCGGCCUUUCUUUGUUUUUAUCUUCCACAAUUUUGGUUUCGGCUUUUAUUCAUUAAGUCGCAAGUUAAUUUCUAAACUAUGAUUAAAUUCAAAUUCAAGGAUUUUAGUGGUGGGAGGGUGGGGUAAAUGUGGGGGUGACUAAUAAGCAAAACAUAAGAUGGACAGAUUUUGGUUUGAGGUUUUUGGCUUUUCCUCAGUGAAAACUUUUUGCACUUUUCAUGGCUCUAAUGGGUUUUCAACCCUUUUUACUGUUAUUCAAUUCUAAUUGGUACACUUUUACUGGAUUCAUUUACUCGUCAUACAAUUAAUCAUAAGUCCAUUUCAACACAAAUUGUAUUUGACUAAUCCUAAAACAAAAGGAGGGCAAACGAUUAGAUUAAUUGAACCUUUGAAAAGGUUGUGAGACUCGAUAAGUCGUUUUGAUGAGGGGUUAUUAAUACAAUAUCGGUAUGUCAUAUCUUUGUGGAAUGUGUUUUUUUAAUCUUCUAUAAGAUAUUAUCCAUUAUAAAAUGGAAUCAGAUAUGUGUUGUUUAUGUUUCUUGGUGAUUUGUGUUUUUAAAACUUUUUGUCGCCUUUUAUGUAGAUUUGUAUUUUUUUAAAAUGAAAUAGGGGACAUAUCUGCCAUUUGGUUUAUUUUAAUGACUACUUUUUGACAUAGAUAUAAUUUUUCUCCAAUUCCACCAAAUUUUUUAGUGUUACCUUUUUCUCCUGUAUGAUUAAGAUUUUCUUAUAAGAUGCCAAUAUUUUCUAGAACUCAAAAGCAAAGCAUGCACAUACCCCUAAGAUUCUGAUUUUGAUUAACCUAUUAGAAUGACUAAUAUAAAUACUUGAUAAAGAAGUGCCUAUAAUUAUGUGGAAGGAUUGAAAUUGCAAUGUAUCCUUACAGUCAUGUGUUUCAUCUUGCGUUGCGAUCCCAUUAUGGUGAUUAAUUGGUAUAAACACUGGGCAUGGGUAAUCCUAGUUAUUUUGGAAUACAAGAAAAUGAAUAACGGGAGUAAAUUUUAAGCAACUUUGAGCUACAUUGUGUAUUAAGAGUCUGUUUACUAAAAGUUAUUCUUUUGAGUUACUUCACAUAUUAUUACGAUUACAGAAAACUCAACUAUAUAUUAGCGCUAUUUUUGAAAGCACAGAGUGAGAAUUUUUUUGGAAGGGGUAAACUUAUUAGGCAAUAUGGAAAGUGAGGCAAGUUAUGGUUUUUGCUACCUGAAGUAACCUAGAAUAGCUAAUUAGACAACUUAAUGGUUUUUUCUAUAUGGGUGUGUGUGUGUGUUUAUUUGACUCGACUUUUAUAUAUAAAAGCUAAAAAUUUCUUAUUUAUACCUAGUCAUGAUUUGCAUUAUCUAUAAUUGCAAUCUAUAUAUCUAGUAACAUACCCUUCCAAUGGAUCUAACAUCUGUUACAAAUCUUUUUAUGCCUUUGGCAGUAUUUACUUCCUUAACUUACCUAAUGUUGCCCCGCAAUGUGAAAUUGGACAGCUAAUUAUUCAUAUUGCAGCAAAUAAAGGCUAAAGGUGAAUUCUAAGUUCAAAGUGUGUAGCCUAUGUUGCUCAAUAUGCAUUGCAAUUAUUAAUCUCAAAUUUGUGCAUGUUUGUUCUUGAAAGACUAUUUUAGGGAUUGAUCUGGUAUCUUUUAGCUCUGUUUUUGAUGAUUUAAGUCUAUCCAAAAGAAAAACAUGCCUAGUUAUGUUCUUGUAAGGCACUAUACCUCUGUUGAAAUUCAUGAAUGAGUGUAUAUUUGUAUGAAUGUCCUCUACCAACUCUCUUGACAUUUUAAGAUGACUAAGAAUGACAUUCCAUAACCUGAAAACAUCCUUGAUAUAGUAAACAUGUUAACAAUUUUUAUUAUGUGACUCUCCCUUUGAUCUUAUUGGUUCUGGAUUGACUUUGAAAAAACAAAAGAGCAUAUGGUUCUGUCCACUAUCAAUUCCAGCUUUAUUACACAGCUCUCCACAUCAUUUCUUGAGCUCAGUCAGAAUAAUUCUGGAUAUAGUAACUUCUGUUUGAAAAUGUUGAUAUGAAAUUUACCUACAUAUUUAUUUGGUGUCACUUUUUAUUCUACGUUCACUCAUACAUGCCAUCUUGAUUUUGUAGAAGACUGAAAGAGUACAAAGGUUGAUAAUUAAAGAAAGGCUGUCACUGCUGGUUCAUCCUCCAUUUCGACUUUUGCCUUUUGGUUUCGUCCUUGUUGCGACAGGUAUAUAUAUAUAUA
rnacentral:lncRNA from 1 species